UAAGAGGUGAAUGAUGGAGUCACUCACA
rnacentral:piRNA from 1 species